CUAGGGAAUGAGACAUGGAGGUCUUGUUGCUAGUGGAACUACAGCUGGCAGGCAGGAGACACUCAGCAAUGGUGAAUGAUCCUCUAACUCAGUGGCUGCACUGCUAGGAACUUAACCUAAGAGGGAGAGAUACCAGGAGGACAUGUCCACAGAGAGAAGACCAUGUGAAGAGGCAGCAAGAGGGUGGCCAUCUGCACACCAAGGGGAGAUGCCUGGAACAGAUUCUUCCAUUAUCGCCCUCAGAAGGAAACCAAUCCUGCUGACAAACUUGACCUGGGACUUCCCAGCCUCCAGAACUGAGAAAUUUCUGCUGUUUAAGCCACCCAACAAAGUUCAAUGUGGCCACCGACCUGCCUUUUCAAACUCAUCAUUGUUACGAUUCCAUGAAUUGUUUGAAGUCCAGGAAGGUGAGUUCCCAUGGCAAGUGAGUAUCCAGAUCUCACGGAAACACCUCUGUGGAGGCUCAAUCAUACAUCAGUGGUGGGUUUUGACAGCUGCACAUUGCUUCCCAAGAACCCUGUUAGAAAUAGCAUUGGGAAAUGUUACUGUGGUCAUGGGAACCAGAAUAUUCAGCGACGUCCGCUUGGAGAGAAAGCAAGUGCAGAAGAUAAUUAUUCACAAAGAUUAUAAACCACCCCACCUUGACAGUGAUCUCUCCCUGCUCCUGCUUGCCACACCAGUAAAAUUCACUAACUUCAAAAUGCCCAUCUGCCUGCAGAAGAAGGAAAGGAUCUGGGACAGAUGUUGGAUGGCAGAGUGGGUGACAGCUUAUGAAUAUGACCAACAUGACAACUUAAACAUGUACCUGCAGAAGAUGAGAGUGCUGCAGAUUAGCUGGAGAGAAUGCAGCAAGAGGGUAGAUCAGCUCUCCAGGAACAUGGUUUGUGCUUGGAAGGAACCAGGCACCAAAGGCAAUUGCCAGGUUCUUUCAGAGCAUGGCUAUGGCUGAUCACUACUGAUAUCCAGGAGGUACAAACUACUGGGAGGAUUACCACCAGCAGUACCUGAGCAAGAACCCCAAUGGUCACUGAGGAAUGCCAGCUGAGGACACUGUGAGAAGUUGGCCAUGUGCAAGCCAGGAAGAGGGCCCUCACCAGGAACAGAAUAAUCUGGCACCUUGAUCUCAGACUUCUAGCCUCUAAAACUGGCUGGCCCUUGAGAUCACAGCAGAAACGCUUUCAACAAACUGGGCAAGUCUUUUGUGGUUCACAUCAGUGGCUUUUCGAAGUGUACAAAGUAUAAAGUCAUUUUUAAAAGUCUGAUUUAAAAGUAUAAUUUAUAUUUAUUUAGUAAUUUCACUUUUUUAAGGUGUAUGGUAUUAAGAAUCCUGACAAAUACAGGGGCACCUAGGUGGCUCAGUAGGCUGAGUGUGCGACUCUUGAUUUCAGCUCAGGUCAAGAUCUCGUGGUUCAUGAGUUCGAGCCCAACAUCGGGCUCUGCACUGACAGCACAGAACCUGCUUGAGAUUCUCUCCCUCUCUGCCCUUCCCAGACUCUCUCUCUCUCUUUCUCUCACAAAAUAAAGAAAUAAAACUUAAAAAAAAUGAAGAAUCCUGGGUGCCUGGGUGGCUCAGUCAGUUAAACAUCAGACUUCGGCUCAGGUCAUGAUCUGACAUGCUGACAGCUCAGAGCUUGGAGCCUGCUUCAGAUUCAGUGUCUCCCUCUCUCUCUGUCCCUACCCUACUUUCACCCUGUCUCUCUCUCAAAAUAAAUAAACACUAAAAAAAUUUUUAAAUUAAGAAUCCUGACAAAUACAAAUGUCUGUGUAAUCAUUACCACAAUGCAGACAUAGAAACUUCCUACCCGCCCCCCAAAUGUUCCCCGUGCUCCUGGGAACCCAUCCUCUUCCCCAAACCUCAGCUCCUGGCAACAACUGAUGUAUUCUUUGUGCCUGUUGUUUGUCUUUUUAGAAUGCCAUCUAAAUGGCAUCAUACCGAA